AACGAACGCUGGCGGCAUGCCUAACACAUGCAAGUCGAACGAGACCUUCGGGUCUAGUGGCGCACGGGUGCGUAACGCGUGGGAAUCUGCCCUUAGGUACGGAAUAACUCAGGGAAACUUGAGCUAAUACCGUAUAAUGACUUCGGUCCAAAGAUUUAUCGCCUAAGGAUGAGCCCGCGUCGGAUUAGCUAGUUGGUGAGGUAAAAGACUCACCAAGGCGACGAUCCGUAGCGGUCUGAGAGGAUGAUCAGCCACACUGGGACUGAGACACGGCCCAGACUCCUACGGGAGGGCAGCAGUGGGGAAUAUUGGACAAUGGGCGAAAGACCUGAUCCAGCAAUGCCGCGUGAGUGAUGAAGGCC
rnacentral:rRNA from 1 species